CCUGGUUUUAUUAACAGUCUUGACUGUUUUACGUUUAUUUCAGUGUGGAAAAAAAUUGAGGAAAUGACAAAAAAUUGAACGUGCCAAAGGCGUACGUAUACGAUUAGUCUGAUAAUGAAUUUGUAAUAAAUUCGAAAAUUUUCAAAUAUUGAGUUUCAAAAACAUUUUUCCGUGCUUUUUUCGCAACAACUGCAUAUUUUCAUUUUUCUUUUUUUUCCUUUCAAUACAGCCUGCCUUUCCUAUCAAGUCAUGCCUUGCCGUCUCAGUAUUGAUUUUGGACGACGGCCCUGUCAUCUCCCACCCCCUGUAUAGAUGCUGUCAACAAUGUAGGGUCAAUUUUUGGUCCUGCCUUAAUAGUAUUAACCUCCUUAAGCCCUUGAACCACCUCGUUUGCGCGAGUAAAGCGCACGCAUGUACCUGUAAGUGUCGCGAACUAAAGGCAGGAGUGCACAAAUUUGCACAAAUUUGCGAGAAGAAGACAUGUAAUUCUCGUUCCAAUCAGUGCUGUGUUGAGAAUCAAUGUGUUAAGUUGAUGGUCGGAAAGAUCGCACAUGUAUAAAGAACAUGUACAAAGGAAAACAUCUCACAUUUUGCAAACCAGUUGUUUUUAUUUUAAGAAAAACUGUCCAGUUCUCACUUCCGCAUUUUCGGUCGGCAUGCAUGACAGCAGAUAAUAACUGCUUUUGAAAAGUGGAAGCACCGUAUUUAUUUAUUUUAUACAAAUUAGCUUUCGACUCAAGUCUGGAACAACUUGUGAGAUUUUUUCUUGUUGAAGGAAAGUAGACAUUGGGAUAACG